UGAUGACAUCGGUGGUUGCAGGAAG
rnacentral:piRNA from 1 species